rnacentral:misc_RNA from 1 species
CUCUAGCGUACAACAACAAAACAAAAUGGAGGUCUUUGAUGUGUGUGUCGCGUUGUCUUAAAAUUUGCUGCUAGAAUUUUGCGUUAAACGCUGUGAGCGAAUGUGUUUCACUGCGAAUAUGUCAAAGGUCGGCCAUGAAGUGCGCGAAACACGAAACACGAAUGACUUUUACCCUAUAAAAGCAACAACAAGACGUUAAAUUGCACACCAGUUGUAAUUAAGUUUAGUAGUUAGAACCCACAACCAACUAAUAUAUAAUCAUACUCGAUAAGGCGUGAGACCAGACUCACGGGGUAUAAGGUGGGCAUUGGGGAACGAACAUCCGCACCCCUGAGAAGUGAAACUUCUCCGCACUUGUCUGGCUCUCAGUCAUCGACUACCUACCUAUAGGCAUUCGACAUUUUGACAACGGCCACGCGCAGAAAGCAGCAUCAAAAUUAAGCCAAUUGACGACCAAAUCUGCAACGCAGCGGCGUCGUCGCGUCCUUCGACGCGUAACGGACAUUUCUGUGUGCGCUGCGUUUAAAAAAUCUGAUGGAUGGAAAUGCACAAAAUAUGUUUCACGGAAAUCAUCAAGGAGAUCCCUAUUACCGUUACGAUGCGGCAGCCGCCGCAGCAGCCGCAGCCGCGGCGAACCCGCGUGCAAUGGGACCGCCUGGCGGCUAUCCGCCGCGCCACCGCCCCCCACAUCCGUUACAGCAGCAGCCCCAAUACCCAUCGUACCAGCCAACGGCGGAGAAUCUCUACGGGCUGGGGGCCGCCGAUCACCAGGCGGCCAUGGGGCUCGGCGUUGGAGUGGGAGUUGGUGCCGGAAUGGGCGAUCUAAGCGGUUGGGGAGCGGCGCCUUCGGUUCCUGGCCAGGCAGCGGCUUAUCCCGGAGCCGGACUGGGCGCCUAUGGUCAUCCGCAAGCGGCUCCACCAGCGCAGCAACAGCGUCAGAGCAACGCCAGCGCAUACCGUCAACAUAUGCCCGCCUAUGGACAACAGGAGCAGCAGAAACUGGCUUCAUACGGCGCGCAACAGAGCAUGAUGGCGGGAUACGGUUCGCUGGCGCCCCAGCAGCAACAGCAGCAGCAACCGCCCACACCACAGCAGCAGCAGCAAGCACAGCAGGUGCAACAGCAGGCGCAGCAACAGCAACAACAGCAGCAGCAGCAGAGUCAGCAGCAGGCUCGACUGCCGCAGCAUUAUCCGCAAACUCCUGGUCAGCAUCCGUUGUAUCCUGGAGUGGGAGCACCCACCGUCCAGGCGGGACAACCUCCCACGCCCCAGGCAUAUACUCAUAGUCCGUACGGAAGUCCCAUGCAACACCAACCGAGCAGAGGAGCUCCCCAGCAUGUGGGCUACGGGCAUACAGGACUGGAUCAGGCUUCUGCUUACGGACAGCAUGUGCCGGGAGGAGCGCCACCGGGUCACCAUUUGACGGCGCAGCAGCAGCAGGCUGCGCAGCAAUUGGGUGCCCACCAGCAGCAACAGCUGCAAUCGCAGCAGCAACAGCAGCAGCAACCUCACGUUUCGCUAAUGCAGCAGCAGCAGUUGCCGGGUGCUGGAUUGCCGCCACCGCACAUGGGAAUGCCUCCUAGUUACGGAAGCCACCAUCAACAGCAACAGCAGCAACAACAGACCCAGCAGCAACAGCAGCAGGCAGCGCCGCCUUACAUGUCCAGCAGCAAGCAUCAACAGGCGGCUGCCCAGCUGAAUUCCUCGCCCCAGUAUCGUGCACCUUUCCCUCAGCUUUCGCCACAAAUGUCGCCACGUCCUCCGACAAUGUCGCCACAUCCGCAAAUGUCUCCGCGACCAGUUGGCGUGUCGCCGGCGAAACCACCGCCCCCUCAACAGCAGCAGCAACAAACGCAAGCGCAGCAGCCGCAACAGGUUGUAAGCAAUCAGCCCAGCCAGCACAGCAUUCAAGGCAUGGUAGGCUUGCCUUCGCCGCGCCCACAGCCGCCCACAAGUGGAGCAGGUGGAGCGGGAGCGAAGGGUCCUGCGCCAGUUGCUGCCCCCGUAAACACAUUACAGGCCCUCGAACAAAUGGUGAUGCCGUCACAGGCUCUCGGGCUACCACCCAUGGACUACCCAUCGGCAUACAGGAGUGCUGUGGGUCCUAGGAUGCCAGCUUCCCCUCAGCAGCAACAGCAACAGCAACAACAUCAGCAAUGGGGUGCGGCCCAUGGAGCACAGCACUUGGCGGCCCUGCAGCAGCAGCAGGCCCAACAGCAACAACAACAGCAGGUACAACAGCAGCAACAAGCACCUCCGCAGCAGCAGCAGGCGGCAAUGUUGCAGGCGCAGCAGCAACAUCACCAGCAGCAGUUAAGUAUGUAUGGUCAGACGAUGGGACAGCAACAGCAGACACAAACCGCGCAGCAACAAGUUGUGCCACCGGUGACUUCACAACCGCCAGUGGUGGCCGCCUCUCAGCAGCAGCAACAACACCAGCAGCAGUCACUCAAUGAUCAAUUGCAGCAUUCGAUCAACGAUAUUGUUGGGGGUGGGAACAGUAGUGGAGCAACAGGAGGUGCUCAGAAUCAGCACCAGCAGCAACCCCAACUGGCGGCCAUGUCUUCGCCGUUGCAUCAGCAAAACCUGCCCAACAUGCACCAUUUAAUCCAACCUACCAUGGAGCCAACACAGCCGACGCAGCAGCAACAGCAAACGACACAACAACAGCAGCAGCAACCACAGCAACAGCAACCGCAGGCGACUUUAACAUCGCCGCACCACCAGCAAAUGCAGCAUCAGUCCCCCAUACACCAGCAGCAACAGCAACAGUCACCGCAUCACCAGCCACAUCUACCUAGCUACAAUCAGUCGCAGCAGCAAUUCGAUCCCUUUGCUAACAUACUAGGAGACAAUCAACCACCUGCAUCCCAACAGACAAUGUCGCCCGCUCAUGUAAGUUCGCCGGUACCCGCGCAAAUGCAACAGCAGCAGCAACAUCAGACCCAACAGCAGCCAUCCCAACAAGUACCACAAAGCCAGCAACAACAGGUGUCGCAGCCACAACAGCAAACGCAGCAGCAACAACCCUCGACCCCAUCACAUCACCUGAGCAGCAUCCUCAAUGAAACAGCAAACUCGAAUGAUUCCUCCACUUUGGCAGUGGCUGCCAAUGACAGCAACAACAGCAGUAGCAAUAGUAGCACCAAUAGCAUUGUCAACAACCAGCCCACAUCGGUGCACGACAGCAAUUCGCAGAGCAGCAUUAACAGCAGCAGCAACAACCAGCAACAGUUGCUCAUGGACAACACGAAUUCACACGGAGGAAAUUCGGAAUCGGCCCAGAAUGUUGGAGUGGAUGUUGGUCUUUUUGAUAACAACUCGAUGUCCUCAACGUCAGCAGCAGUUGCUGCCGUGGCCUCCAAUGCAGCUUCUGCAGCAGCAGCACUUUUGGACAGCAAUUCUCAGUCGUCGAAUGCGGAGUUUGAGAAGAAUCAAAGCGAAGGUGAAGGACUCGGCGUUGUAGAAGGAGUUAUUGCCAAUGAAACUGAGAUUCCACAGGAUGAGAACAGCGUUUCCAAAACUCAAGACAUAACUCUAAGCACGGAAUUGCCAGCAAUCCAAGACGAUCUACAAGAUAAGCCCACCGCUGAGAUAGAACAAACUCAACUGGGACAAUCUUUAGGUGAUUUGACUACAUCUUUGUUGGAGGAACCUAAAUUGGUGGAAGAAUCCGGUGAGGAUAAAUCUCAAUCGGCAACUGGAGUUGCACCUCCAGCAGAUCCUGCUACCCCUGUUACACAACCGUCUCAGCAACAGAUGCCUCCCAUUGGGAUGCCCAUGCAUCCUAUCGCCCCCGGGUAUGAAGGCCAGACUCAGGGACAAGGUCACAUGCCGCCCAUGAUGCCUCCGUAUGGAGGAGCGCCAGGGAUGUAUCCACCUUAUCCCAUGCUGCAUCAACAAGAAAUUGCUGCACUGCAGCAGCAGAUACAGGAACUGUAUUGCAUGCCUCCCGGGCACGAGCAUCAACACCAAGAUAAGUUAAUGCGAAUGCAGGAGCGAUUAAAUCUUCUCACGCAGCACGAGAUAAACGAUCAGUGUGCUGGCGGUCCGCAGUGCUUACUGUUCCAAAACGUUCCGCCCAUGUAUGGACCACCAGGGAAUCCUCUGCUCAACCAGCAAAUGGUAGAGAGCCCUCAAGUAUCCAGCACCACUGGAAGAGGACGAGGCAAGGGAGCCAACAAGCCACGCAAGCCUCGCGCCAAGAAGGGUGAAAAAGGUCAGGUGGGUCAGCAGCAAGACCUGAUGGAUACCAGCGGGAAUGUGGCAAUGGGAGCAGCAAACGCCGUUUCCAGUAUCCCAACGACACAAUUACCCGUAUCUGAGGAUUGCGUGACUCAAGGAGCGGGAGAUACCAGUGUGGUCGGUAUGCUGGAGUAUAGUGAAGGGAUGGGUGAUCUUUCUCAAGAUGUGCACUCAGCCAAUGAACUCGAUACCUCGACUGAUGGCAGUGGUAAGAAGAAGAAGCCCCGCAAGCCUAGAACACCUAAGGAUCCAAAUAAACCUCCACGAGAUAGGACGCCGAAAGCAAAAAAGCCCAAGGAUCCUAAUGAUUCAAACUCUACUGAGACACCAGUAGCGGGUAAAAAGCGAGCUAGUGUUAGCAAACGCAGGAAACAGUACGGAGACGAUGGAGCUGAGCAAACGGGAGAGGGUAGCGAAGUGGAAGACAACAAGCCAUUGGUGCCAAAAGCAGGAUCCGCUGAUGGUGAAGCAGAAACAACUUCGGGAGGAACUGGAGUGGAUGGAGAAUCUCCAGACUACGAUGACAUUCCCGUCUCUAAAAUUCCGCGUGCCGCCAAUGAAGAUGAAAAGGAAGCCGAGGCCGGCGAUGAAACAGUAGACUCUGUUCCAGACUCGGCUGGUGAUCCUGCAUCUACACCGAGCAGAAGAGAUCGCAAACGAUCCACUGCAAGGAGUCGACGCAAUGCAAACUCUGAGGAGGGAGGCAGUGCUCGCAAGAACCGUGGUUCUCUCUCCGCCAAGGCACUUAAGAAGCGAAGGAAUAGGGGUCGCAUUGUACCUGAAUCCGAUGGCGAAGAUGACACCCUGGACAGAACUCCGCCUCCAUCGCCGCCACCAGACUCUGAAUUGGAUUCCAACAAGCGAAGAUCUUCAAGAAACACUCAGAGAAAGAAAUACAUCGAUGAUGUUAUGCUAAGGUUCUCCGAUGACGAAAACUCUCUGUUAGUGGCAUCUCCUGUAAAGAAGGAUAAGAAGCCAACUGCUAAUGCAAGCAAUUCCAAUGCAGGAAGUGAUGUGGAAAAAACGGAACCUCAAUCUGGUGCCGAGGGAGACGCUGGCCAGGAGGCAGGUGAAGAGAAAUCUAAUCUACCGCUGGAUGAAAGCAGUCAAUUGGAAGCCAGUUCGAGUACUUCUGCAGCAGCGGAGAAGGAGCGACAGACCUCUACAGAUGCUGCAAGUGCAUCCAUGUCUUCCAAACCCAAUUACGUGUACAUAAACACAGGCGAUGAAGACAGCAUGGUGGUUCAAUUAGUUUUGGCCAUGCGAAUGGGAAAGCGGGAACUUAUUCCGGACAAACCCAAAGAAAAAGCACCCGAACCUAAAAAAGAUGAAGAGAAAUCUGAUGAAGCAACACCUGAUAAACUUGAGGGAGAUGAAAAACCCAAGGCUGAGGAUGAACCCAAGAAAGAUUCAAUAGGCACCGAGGGAAAGCAAUCAGAAUCCUCCGAAAUGGAAGUGGACAGUAAGGAAGCAGAGCCUGAUGCUUCUAAGAAAUCUGAUGAAGACUAUAAGAACGAGGACAAAAUGGAAGUAGAUGAUGAAGCUGAAAAAUCAGAUAAAGAAAGUAAACCAGAAGAACAAUCAGAAACAGUGAAACCUGAGGAAAAAUCUGAAGCCACUGAGGAAGACAAAUCCUCCACUGUUUCAACAGGUGACCAAGACAAGGAAGCUGAGACUGUCCAGGAGAAAAUGGAUGUUGAUGAAAAGGAAGAUGAUGAAAAGUUACCUCCAUCGAAAGCAGAGGAAUCUGACGAGAAAUCCAUUGAUGACACCAAACCCGAAGAGGGUACUACAGAAAAGGAUAAGGAAAGUUUAGAAAGUGAAGGCGAAAAGGAGAGCGUCAAGGAGGGAGAAGAAUCCGUUACGGAGAAGGAAGAGAAAUCAGAAGCUGAUACGGAAAAUAAACCAGAGCCCGUCUUUAUCGAUGUGGAGGAGUACUUUGUGAAAUAUCGCAAUUUCAGUUACUUACAUUGCGAGUGGAGAACGGAAGAGGAACUACUAAAGGGUGAUCGUCGCGUAGCUGCCAAGAUUCGUCGCUUUCAGCAAAAGCAGUCUCAGCAGUUAAAUAUAUUUGAGAAUAUCGAAGACGAGCCCUUCAACCAGGACUUUACUGAAGUGGAUAGAGUGUUGGACAUGUCAGUUCAUACAGACGAAACCAGUGGAGAGACUACGAAGCACUACCUGGUCAAGUGGAAGUCACUUCCCUAUGAGGAUUGCACUUGGGAGCUUGAAGAAGAUGUAGAUAACGACAAAAUAGAGCAGUACCUGCGCUUUAACAAAAUCCCUCAAAGGAGCGAGUGGAAGUCUAAGAAACGUCCGCAUCCAGAAUUGUGGAAAAAGCUGGAGAAGACCCCCGUCUAUAAGGGAGGAAAUAGCCUGAGACCCUAUCAACUUGAGGGUCUUAACUGGUUAAAGUUUUCUUGGUACAACACCCACAACUGCAUCCUCGCUGACGAAAUGGGUCUUGGAAAAACUAUUCAAAGUUUGACAUUUGUGCACUCUGUAUAUGAGUACGGAAUCAGAGGACCUUUCUUGGUAAUAGCUCCUCUUUCUACAAUUCCAAACUGGCAACGAGAGUUCGAGGGCUGGACCGAUAUGAAUGUGGUUGUUUAUCACGGCUCGGUGACAAGCAAACAAAUGAUACAGGACUAUGAAUAUUACUAUAAGACAGAAAGUGGAAAGGUAUUGAAGGAACCCAUUAAGUUUAACGUUUUGAUUACCACUUUUGAGAUGAUUGUGACGGACUACAUGGACUUAAAAGCGUUUAACUGGCGCCUUUGUGUGAUUGAUGAAGCACAUCGUCUUAAGAAUAGAAAUUGCAAGCUCCUUGAAGGUCUGCGGCAGCUGAAUUUGGAACACCGAGUAUUGCUCUCGGGAACUCCCCUACAAAACAACAUCAGCGAGCUGUUCUCGCUGUUAAACUUCCUGGAACCCUCGCAGUUCUCCUCACAGGAAGAGUUCAUGUCUGAGUUUGGAAGUCUGCGCACUGAAGAAGAGGUCAAUAAACUGCAAGCUUUACUAAAACCAAUGAUGCUACGUCGUCUAAAAGACGAUGUGGAGAAAAGUUUGGCGCCCAAGGAAGAAACCAUUAUCGAAGUGGAGCUAACUAACAUACAAAAGAAAUACUAUCGAGGUAUUCUGGAACAAAACUUUAGUUUCCUGAAAAAGGGGACCACUUCUGCUAAUAUCCCAAACCUUAUGAACACCAUGAUGGAGUUGAGGAAGUGCUGCAUACACCCUUAUCUCUUGAAUGGAGCGGAGGAACAAAUCCAAUAUGAUUUCAAGUCACAGCAUGGCGAAGAUCCUGAGUCCUAUUAUAAAAAUCUGAUUCUCUCAGCUGGUAAAAUGGUUUUGAUUGAUAAAUUGCUACCCAAACUGAAAGCAAACGGCCAUCGCGUUCUUAUAUUCAGUCAGAUGGUACGUUGUUUGGAUAUCCUUGAAGAUUAUCUGGUGUACAGAAAGUACCCCUUUGAGCGAAUCGAUGGGCGCAUUCGCGGUAAUCUCCGCCAGGAGGCCAUCGAUCGUUACUCCAAGCCAGGCUCCGAUCGUUUUGUAUUUCUUCUCUGCACCAAAGCUGGAGGAUUGGGCAUUAAUUUAACAGCUGCCGAUACUGUCAUAAUUUACGAUUCAGAUUGGAAUCCACAAAACGAUUUGCAGGCUCAGGCCCGAUGCCAUCGUAUUGGCCAAAGAAAGAUGGUAAAGAUUUACCGAUUGCUCUGCAGGAAUACCUAUGAGCGUGAAAUGUUCGACAAGGCCUCAAUGAAACUAGGAUUGGACAAGGCUGUAUUGCAGUCGAUGAACACCCAAGGAUCUAAGGAUGGCAAUAACAAGCAGCUGUCCAAAAAGGAAAUCGAAGAUCUCUUAAAAAAGGGUGCUUACGGGGCCGUCAUGGAUGACGACAAUGCUGGUGACAAGUUUUGCGAAGAGGACAUCGAUUCAAUCCUCAAGCGACGCACUCAAGUCAUCACAAUGGAAUCGGAGAAGGGUUCGACCUUCUCGAAGGCUUCAUUUGCUGCCUCCGGUAACCGGUCGGAUAUUACCAUAGAUGAUCCUGACUUUUGGACCAAGUGGGCCAAAAAGGUUGACAUUGAUCCCGAUGCUUGCGAACGAGAUGAAACGGAGGAUUUGGUUUUGUCCGAGCCCAGAAGACGCACCCAAAUCAAACGCUACGGCCACGAGGAUGUGAUGGAAAUCAAUUCCGAGGAAUCUUCCAAUGAGAAUAGCGACGAAGAGGGAGGAAUAGGUCUCCGUUCCCGUCGCCGCAAGGAGAAACGAGAUCGUGCUCGCGAAAAGAAGGGCAACGAUGAAUACAUUCCACGAGAACGGGAUGCCUUGGCUGCUUUGGGCUUGGAGGAAAUUCAAUACGGUAACUGGGCCAAGUCCGAGUGCUUCAAAGUGGAGAAGGGACUGCUUUCCUUUGGCUGGGGCCGGUGGUCGGAACUUUUGGAGCUAGGCCAAUUCAAACGAGGUUGGCGUGAUGUAGACGUCGAGGAUUGUGCUCGCAUCAUUCUCCUUUACUGCCUGCAGGUCUACAAGGGAGACGAGAAGAUCAAGACGUUCAUCUGGGACUUGAUAACACCAACGGAGGACGGAGAGGUGCAGAAGAUUAGCAGGGAUCAUAGUGGCCUACACAACUUGGUGCCACGAGGCCGCAACGGUGGAAAGUCAAACAAGGAAUCCACGGGAAUGUCUACUCCCGCUCCGGGCUCCGCAUCCGGAAGCAAUAGUGGAAACACGACUCCGGCUCACAAGUCCAGUGCACUGGAUGGGUCCGAUAAGGAUGGCGGCGGCAUAAAUGCCAGCGCCGUGGCCGCGGCGGUCACCAGCAUUCACGAUCCAAAUCACUGGAGCAAGAAGGAAAAGUACGAUGCUGAUGCGUACUUGGAAGGCGCCUACAAAAAGCAUUUGGGCAGACACGCCAAUAAAGUUUUGCUGCGCGUGCGGAUGCUCUAUUAUAUUCAACAUGAAGUCAUAGGCGACUUCGUUCAGCAGAUAAAGGACAACACGCCUAUCAGCGAACUCCCCAUUCGCCCGCCGCCAACGCCAGAUCAAGUGCCAUCUUCAUGGUGGAAUCCCAUUUGUUGUGAUAAGAGCUUGUUGGUGGGAACCUACAAGCAUGGCUGUGAAAUGUAUCGUCAAAUGCGCGCCGAUCCCAAUCUGUGCUUUGUCACCCAUGUGGGCGCCGGUGCGGCCGGUGACGAUCUCGCUGUCACGAAUUUGCCGAUAAACGAGGACGAUGCAAAUUCGAAGCACGAUGAUGGCGACGAGGUGGACGACGACGGCACUACUACGACCAAAGACUCUGACUCUACCAAACUCACCGGGGGCGAUAACAAGGACUCGCUUCUCGACCCGGAGCGCCCCAGUUCGUCUGGCUUGGACGAGGAGGAGAGCGUCGCCGGCAGCUAUCCGCCAACCGUGGCAGCCGUCGAGGACGCCACUACUAUGUGGCCAUCUAUGCAGGACCUCAACACGCGUCUCCGCCGUGUGAUCACCGCCUAUCAAAGGAAUUACAAGAAGGAGGAACUCAAACUGCAACAGAAGGCCAAGCUCCAGGCAUUGGUUUCAUCGACACCCCCACUGUCGGUGCCCACAACUCCCACCCUUCAGUCUAUGCAAAUGCAACUGCAGAGCGGCUCCGGCGGCAGUGGCUCCGGACUAGGAUCCUCUGGUCAGCACGAUGCCAGUGGCCGGAAUCUUCAGGCGUUGAUGCAAUCGCAGGGGGCCAGCACAUCCGCAGCAGCGGCCGCCGCCGCCUCAGGUGCUGGAGGAUCCUGUAGUGGAUCCGGCCAGGUGGGCAUGGGCGGAGCGGGAGUCAUGCCAGCUAUGCCAACCGCCGCCGACAUAAGCCUGAUGCUUAGCAUACUCAACACCACAGAUGUCAACCAGCUGGCCAACUUGGACAUCAAUAAAUUGGCCAUGUACCUGGUCAGCAUGAACAAAUAAAAUGGAGCGGCAGGGAAAGAUGGAACUCGCGGCGAAGGAGCGCGAGUCCCAACGUCUUCAGCUCAUCCCAAAGAAAUGGAACCGCCGCGAAGAAUACGAAUUUCUUAGAGUUCUCACUGGUUAUGGUGUCGACCUGCACCUCUCCACACCAAUGGGUUCCUCUAAUGGAAGUUCCCAUUCGCCCGACUGGACCAAGUUCAAGCAGAUGGCUCACCUAGAGAGAAAGAGUGAUGAAACACUGACCGACUACUAUAAGGUAUUUGUGGCAAUGUGCAAACGACAGGCGGGCUUGAAGCUCCUUGAAUCGGAGCGCGGACUAGAAGGCAUUAUCGAAGAAAUCGAGAAGGAGCACGCCAAGCUUAUACUGGAUCGCCUGGAAGUACUUGCCAAGUUGCGAGAAGUGGCUCGUAAUCCCAUGCUCGAGGAGCGCCUAAAACUCUGCACCAAGAAUGCGGAUACCCCCGAUUGGUGGGAGCCUGGUCGACACGACAAGGAAUUGAUCACCGCCGUCCUCAAGCACGGACUUUAUCGCUCCGAAACCUUUAUCUUCAAUGAUCCAAACUUCAGUUUUGGAGAGUCUGAGAAGCGUUUCAUUCGGGAACUAGAAGCUCAGAUUCAGCGUACUAUCAAACUGGAGGCUUUUAAUGCUGAAAAGGCCGAAAAGUUAGCGGCAGCUGAGAAAGCUGCUGCAACGGAAAAAGCUGCUGCAACUGAAAAGGCGGGAGCAGAAAAGGCAGCUUCCGUUAAGAAUGAAGUCAUAGACCUAGAUGAUGAGCUCAUGACUAAUGACAGUGUCAUCAAGAAAGAGUCGCCAGCUUCUCCCAUAAAGGAUGAAGUAAAAGCUGAAGAGAGUCCUGAAAAGAAGGAUACUGCUGAUAUUCCCGAAGAUAAAGCUUCAGAUUCUCAUGGGAGUACGAAGGUAGAGGAUAAAGGUGAGUCGAAUGCAGAAACUACGGAAAAAGACGCACUAGACGAAACUACAAAGUUGGAUAAGGAUAAAUCUAGCCCUGAAUCAUGUGCUCCAGAAAUUGAAGAAAGCAAACCUAGCGAAGAAAAAAUGCAAGUGGAGGAAUCGCCCGUUGCCGAAAAUGGUCAGGAGAAGGAAGGUUCGCCUGAGAAAUGCAGUGAUACAGAGGAUAAGAAAUCUUCAGAAGAAAAGCCAAGUUCCCCUGGAGCCCCUGAUGUUAAAGUGUCAGAAAUGGAGACAGAUGAUGUCGCCUCUAAUACAGAAGAAAAAUGUUCUGGGGAAUUGAAACCGCCCGAAAAGGAAUCUGAAGACAAGGUUGUUGAAAAGUCUGAUGAAGAGAAGGGUGAAAAAACAAAUGAAAAGUCUGAGGAACAGAAAGAGGAAAAAGAAAAGGUGCAAAAACCACUCAUAGAAUCGGAGGCCGCUGAUAAAUCUGAAACUGUCGUUGAACCCGAAGUAGCUGUGCCCAAAAAACCCACUGCCGACCAAGACAUUCUCGACCUGGUGGCUGGUCCUUCAGAUCCCGAUGAUGACGAGGUGAUGAAGGAAAAAGAGAAAGCAGUAGAAGAGGAAUGCAAGAAGCAGGCAGCAGAGCUUAAAGCACGCUUCCCGGAUCUGGAAGUGAUUCAACCCGCCACUGUCAAGCAGCAAAAGUUGGAUAAGCCCAAGCUUGAAAUGUGCAUGAUCCGCUGGUUCAAGGAUUUCGCCUUAGAGCGCCGUAUUGCGCACAUUGUGGCUUGCGUGGAGUCAGGAAAUUGGCCUGUGGAUAGCAAAUACAGUGCCUUUGCAUCCUGCAAGGGGGCAACUGAUCUAAGCAUUGCUCUCCACGAAUCCAUUCCCCACUUGAGCAGUUUGGACCGUCGCUCCACAACACCCGAUGUCAUUACCAUAACGACGGACCAAGGUGUCACAAAGCACUUGCAGACCUCCCACAUGCAGCAGGUGGCCAGUUCGGCGUCCGCUGCAUCCGUCUCCUCGGGAGCUCCCCAGGUCACCCAAUCAAAACCCUCCUCUUCCAACAGCUUACCUGGCUUGGAUGCCAAAAGCAUCAAUGCUGCGGUGGCAGCGGCCGUUGCGGCAGCUGCAGCAGGUGGAAAUGCCACCUCCCUAUCGUCUUUGCUUCCGGGAAUGUCUCUGAGUGCAGCCAGUGGCUCUUCAGCCGGUGCAGUGAGCGGAUUGAGCGUUCCAAGUGCCGGCUCUGGAGGGGGAAAGAAGCGCAAGCGACACAUAGCCAUCGACGUAGAGACGGAAAGGGCUAAGCUUCAUGCUCUGCUUAACAGCUCGACAAUGGCACCGAAGGACUGGGAGAGUGAGAUUGCAAACAUGGAGGCCUUGAGCGGCUCCUCUGGCCGUGGUCGAGGUGGUAAUUCUUCAGCUUUAAGUGGCAUGCAGCCGCCUCCAGCUCAUCAGCAUGCUUCGCUCUCGCGACAAUCCUCGGGACAGUUCAGCAAGCCAGCUGUCCCCGCCCUGAAGACUCCUCCUCCCUCAAUGGGUGCACCAAUGGACCUUUCAUCAAGCCUACCGAAAAUGAAUAUGACUGAGAUGCUUAAGUCGGCUUCCAGUGCGGGAGCCAUCGAUUUGAGUGAGGUUCAGGACUUCUCUAUGCCUUCUAAAAAAUCCAGUGUGCAUAGUGCUUUAAGUUCCGCAUUUCCCUCGAUGGGAAGCAAGAGCAAAUUAGACGACACGCUUAACAAAUUGAUGAAGAAGAACAAUUGCACCAUUGAAGAGCCUGUUAUUGGUAAGGAGAAAAAGCGAAAGAAAUUGGACGAGAUCGUGCUCGGCCUAUCGGCGGCUAAAGAGCAAAAGACCUUCCCUGACCCAUCGCUGCCGUCAUCAAAGAAACCGCAGAUCCCGCCAAGCGUAUCAGUGACGCCAGCAAACCUUCAAUCCUCGUCCAACCAGCAGUCAAACCAGAAACCCUUUACUAUCACUGUUACCACAGUGCCCGGAAAAUCAAAGGGCGGCUCGUCCAACAGCGGAUCCGGCGCCGGAGGAAGCUCGUCGGCCAGCGGCGGAGGAGCCGGCGGCAGCGGCUUGAGCGCCCUGCAGAAUAUGGCAAUGGGAGGUCUGUCAUCCAAAGACAGUCUCAAUGCCCUGUUGGCACAGACAAUGGCCACCGACCCUCAGACGUUUCUUAAGCAGCAGCAGAAGAUGAUGCAGUUCCUGCCCCCCGCUCAACGGAAAGCUUAUGAAAACAUGCUAGCGGAGAUGGAACAGGCCAUGAAGAUCAGUUCAAAGUUUUCGACAAACUCACCACACGACGUCAAGGUCAACAAGUGGCUUUCAGACAUGGCAACUCCACUGGGCGACCAGCUCAGCAUUGAUUACGUGGGAGGUGGCGGGGCAGGUGCCUCCGGAAGUGGCAAUAGUCGGCGCUCGAACCGCCAGCAAGGAAACUCACAACAAUCCUCAAGUGCAGCCCAACUGCAAAAGCAACAGCAACAACAACAACAGCAGCAGCAACAACAGCAACAUUCGAUGCCCGGCCCUCAGAAUUUGACAGGAGAGGAGCCCGUACCAGUGAUCAAUAAGCAGACUGGCAAACGCUUGGGAGGCAACAAAGCGCCGCAGCUGAAGAGACUGAUGCAAUGGCUUACGGAGAACCCCAAUUACGAAGUGGAUCCAAAGUGGCUGGAGCAGAUGCAAAAUCCCAUGUCUGCACCUUCUCCAAAGCCGUCAUCAAUGGAGAGCAGCUACGGCUCUUCGGCAGUGAAAUCGCAUGGAGGUCGCCCGUCAUCUAAUUCGAGUAACACCUCAUCAUCGUCCCAUACCCAGCAACAUCAGCAAACGUCUGCAGCUCAAUCGCCAGCGGGAGGGAACUCAGGCAGCUCCAAGAAAACAUCCCGCCAAACAGCGGCAUCACAACUGGAUCAAGCUGCGUUACAAUUUAACUCCUUAGCCGGUCUAAAUCCCAGUCUUUUGGCUAAUCUUCCUGGACUGGGCGCAUUUGACCCCAAGAAUCCUCUGGCUGCAUUUGAUCCAAAGAAUCCGUUGCUAUCCAUGUCAUUUGGAGGAAUGCCCGGAAUGGGAAAUAUUCCUGGAUUAGGUAACCUGAACAACAUGAACCUUUUCGCCAGUUUGGCUGGAAUGGGAGGAUUGGGUAAUCUGGCGGGUAUGGAUACUCAGUCGCUGGCUGCGCUCAUGGCUGCUGCCGGGCCAACUCUUGGCGGAUUAGGUGGUGCAUCCGGAGGAGCGGGCUCCGGCAAGAGCCAGGCGCAGUCGCAAUCAUCCGCCACUUCGUCCUCCUCUUCGGCUAGUAAAAAGAAGCAGCAGCAACAGCAACAACAGGCGCAAAACGAAGCUGCUCAAUUGGCAGCUGCUAUCAGCGCUAGCACUGGAGGCUCUGGCGCAUCAGGUGGAAAGAACGCAGCGGCUUCUGCAUCACAAUUGGCGGCAGGAUUUCCAUUCCUAUUUCCGAAUCCGUCACUGCUGUAUCCACCCAUGGGACUAGGUGGUCUGAAUCCGUAUUCCCUAGGAUCCAGUGGACUUGGUUCUGCAUACGAUCAAUUGGCUCAGCAGUAUAACCUGCUAAAUGGGGCCACUUCAUCCGCCUCAAAUACGAGCUCUACGCAGUCUAAGUCGCAUCAGUCACAAUCGAAAUCCAGUCAGUCCAGGAAUACCGCAGCAUCUGCCAACUCAGCAGCGAGUCUGAUGAAUGCAAUGGCCAGCAUGGGUGGUGGAGCUAGUACAGUAACCACGCCUUCUACUUCAACAUCAGGAUCCGGACGUGGCAGGCAAUCGAGCAGCAGAAAUCAAUCCCAAACCACACCCACAGCAGCAGACAUGGCCCAACUCAGUAGUCUACUUAUGCCAGGAGCGGAUCCACAUCUCCUCGAGUCGCUGAGCCGUAUGAGCAACAUGGAUUUGGCACAGGCAACGCGACUGAUGAGCUCCCUCGGAAUGCCGCCUCUUCCAGGAACCCCGAGCUCUUCUGGUGGGGGUAACACAUCUUCAAGCAAGAGAAGCAGCCAAGCCGCAAGUGAAGCCAACGCUCAGGCUAAGGAACAGCAGAAAUGGUUUGAAAGUCUAGCCCGCGGAGCUCUGCCAACUGACUUAGCCGCGCUCCAAGCUUUCUCGCAAGGCAAAAUGCCGUCAACAUCCGGAUCAAAUACGGGCACAUCCACUUCCUCCAGUAAGAGCUCGAAAGCAGCUGCGGCUGCGGCUGCUGCGGCAGCUCAAUUGCCACAAAUUCCUAGUGACUUCUCUCAGGCCUUUUUGGCUGAAAUGGCUGCACAGGCAAUGGCGGCUGCUGGCGGAUCCCUACCUCUGAGUGGUCCUGGAUCAUUAGCUAGUUUGGCUGGCUUAACUGGUGGCUCGGCUGGAGGCGGUGGUGGUUCUUCUGCCUCAGGAAGCACUAGCCACUCUUCAUCAAAACGACAGCGUGAGCAGGAUGCCUUUAAGCAACAGAUGGACUAUUAUACCAAGACCUUAGGUCUGGGAUCAGGAAUCUCGCUGAUACCUACUUCCUCAUCGGGAGGAUCAUCUGCAUCCUCAAGUUCGGCAAACGCAGCAGCGGCUGCCUAUGCUGCAGCAUUAGACGCGGAGCAACAGCAUCAACAACAGCAAAAGGCUCUUUCCAAACGAUCACGUGGCGAUAUACACCCCACAAAGGAGGAACUGGCUGCUGCUGCCCUUACUGCAGGGUUACCCCUUAAUCUUGGAGCCAGCAUGAGUAGCAUAGAAAAGAGUCUAAGAGGCGGAAGCAGCUCCAGUAGCAGUUCGACGCCAGCACCUAUGUCUGCGGAACAGGAUAAAGUAACGUUGACUCCCCUUAAUGCCUCUGGAGGUGGGUCAGGCUCUUCUUCCAGUUCAGCAGCUGCUGCGGGACUGGCAGCUAAUCUGCCCAGUCAAACUACAAUAACCAUAGCUCCUCCCAUUAGCAGUGGAGCCAGCACUAGCAGCGAGCGUUCUGAGCGCUCCGAGUCGCGCAUUUCGCUAACCAUAACAAAUGCAGCGGAUGCAGCGAAACUACCACCGCCCUACGAAGAAGCCGAUGAGCUAAUUAUACAACCCAUACUCAAAAAGCCUUCGGCUGCCAAUCCAGGCAGUAGUCAUGGCGGCAGCGUAGACGAUCUGGAUACAGCGGACAAUGCUUCAGCUGCUAAUCUGAGUGGUUCAUCGUCCAGUUCUGCGGCAGCUGCAGCGGCGGCUGCAGCCGCGGCUGAAGAGAAUCGACGAUCCUCCAACCGAUUGAAGCGUCCGAGGUCUGGCAACGAACAAGGAUCUGGUUCCGUGGAAGGACAACCGCCUGAGAAGCGACGGGAGUUGCGAUCCACUCGUCAUACACGCUCUUCGGCAGAUGCCAGUACGCUUAAUCUUUCCACUGGCAGCGAAUCGGGAGCGGAGGAACGGAACGAAUGAGUAUUGCGCAGAUCCGAGCGCCAGCGCUAGCAGAAUGACACGGCCCAUCCUAAGGGCCGGAGAAAAUCACGUAGAGGAGGAGCCAACACGGCCCAUACAUACAAGUCACCGGAGCAGAAAAUCAACGACAGAAAGAUGAUGAGAAACCAGCUGCAGAUGCGGAUGCAAACAAGAUCGAGGCGAAAAUUAAAUGCUAAGUUAACUGUUACCACUAGAUCCCUUAAGCUUAAAGUUGUGUAAAGUAUAAGAACCUUAUAUAAUCUAUAUAUAGAGAUUAGGAGCCAAUUUAGAGAGAAUGGAUUUGGGUUUGUCUCAACGCUAUACAGUUCGACACUGCUGCAACUCCGUCUGAACUGGAGGGCAGAGGACCGUACCCAUGGCUUACUCAAGUUUCAUUUGCUGCUUAUAUGGUCCUUGUUAAGUCAAUAUUUUCCCUUUCUUUGGCUGCUUAAUUAUUCAUAUAAUUACGAACAUAAUUAAAAAGCGCUUAUAAUUUAA